rnacentral:rRNA from 1 species
CCUACGGGAGGCAGCAGUGGGGGAUAUUGCACAAUGGGGGGAACCCUGAUGCAGCGACGCCGCGUGGGUGAAGGAGCGUUUCGGCGCGUAAAGCCCUAUCGGCAGGGAAGAAGGAGGACGGUACCUGACUAAGAAGCCCCUGCUAACUACGUGCCAGCAGCCGCGGUAAUACGCAGGGGGCAAGCGUUAUCCGGAUUUACUGGGUUUAAAGGGGGCGCAGGGGGGAGUGCAAGCUAGGAGGGAAAGCCCGGGGCCCAACCCCGGGACUGCUGUUGGAACUGGGGGGCUGGAGUGCAGGAGGGGCAGGCGGAAUUCCUGGUGUAGCGGUGAAAUGCGUAGAUAUCAGGAGGAACACCGGUGGCGAAGGCGGCCUGCUGGACUGCUACUGACGUUGAGGCCCGAAAGCGUGGGGAGCGAACAGGAUUAGAUACCCCUGUAGUC